CCGGGUGAGUAACACGUAGACAACCGACCGUGAAGCGGGGGACAACAGUCCGAAAGGAUUGCUAAUACCGCGUAAUGUUCUGGCUGAAGAGCCAGAAAGAAAGCAGCAAUGCACUUUACGGAGGGUCUGCGGCCCAUCAGGUAGUUGGCGGGGUAACGGCCCACCAAGCUGAUGACGGGUAGGGGGUGUGAGAGCAUGGCCCCCCACACUGGCACUGAGAACGGGCCAG
rnacentral:rRNA from 1 species